UACGUAGGGUGCAAGCGUUGUCCGGAAUUAUUGGGCGUAAAGAGCUCGUAGGCGGUUUGUUGCGUCGGCUGUGAAAUCCCGAGGCUCAACCUCGGGUCUGCAGUCGAUACGAGCAAACUAGAGUGUUGCAGGGGAGACUGGAAUUCCUGGUGUAGCGGUGAAAUGCGCAGAGUAUCAGGAGGAACACCGGUGGCGAAGGCGGGUCUCUGGGCAACAACUGACGCUGGAGGAGCGAAAGCGUGGGAGCGAACAGG
rnacentral:rRNA from 1 species